CCUACGAGUGGCUGCAGUGAGGAAUAUUGGUCAAUGGGCGCGAGCCUGAACCAGCCAAGUAGCGUGAAGGAUGACUGCCCUACGGUUUGUAAACUUCUUUUAUAAAGGAAUAAAGUGAGGCACGUGUGCCUUUUUGUAUGUACUUUAUGAAUAAGGAUCGGCUAACUCCGUCCCCGCAGCCGCGGUAAUACGGAGGAUACGAGCGUUAUCCGGAUUUAUUGGGUUGAAAGGGAGCGUAGAUGGGUUGUUAAGUCAGUUGUGAAAGUUUGCGGCGCAACCGUAAAAUUGCAAUUGAUACUGGCAGUCUUGAGUACAGUUGAGGUAGGCGGAAUUCGUGGUGUAGCGGUGAAAUGCUUAGAUAUCACGAAGAACUCCGAUUGCGAAGGCAGCUUACUAAACUGCCACUGACAUUGAUGCUCGAAAGUGUGGGUAUCAAACAGGAUUAGAUACCCGGGUAGUC
rnacentral:rRNA from 1 species